rnacentral:lncRNA from 1 species
GCGCCAAUGCCAUAAUUCAUAUUCAAACGGAGAAAAAUCAACUUAGAUGUGUAGUAAACUUUUACUGGGGGUAGUAACCUUGCAAAACAGUAGCUCCAAUGCCAUUAUACAUACUAAAACAGAGGAAGAACAAUUUAAAUUCGAAAAACUAAAGUUUACUACCUCCAUUAAACUUUUACUGGGGGUAGUAAACUUACAAAACAAUAUUUUCAAGGCCAUAAUACAAACUAAAACAGAGGAAGAACAACUUAGAUGCAAAAAAUAAAGUUUACUACCUCCAUUAAACUUUUACUGGGGGUAGUAAACUUGCAAUCUAUUAUCUCCAGAGAAAAAUCAACACACAAGCAAAUAAUAGAAAAUUACUACCCCUAGUAAUUUUUAUAUUUUGAAAAUUACUACCCCUAGAAAAUUACUACCCCUAGAAAAUCAACACAUAAGGUUCAAAUCCGUCGUAGCAGAUCGGCUCGGCCUUGUUCGCCAGCAACUUCUUGAGCUCCUCAUCUUGGACACACUCCUCAAGAUAUCGUACUUCUCAACCAAGCUCAGCCUUCAUCGUAAACAUAGUUUCGAAGUCAGUUCAAAUUAGUAAGAGCAAAUGCAGAAGAGGAAGAGAGAGAGAAAGCGGCGGAGACUUACGGGACGGAUGGAGUAGCGGAUGAGCUAGAGGGCUGAGAUUCGGCGACGACCGACGGCGGUUUGACCUCGUCGGAGAUCGACAUGGAUUUGACUUCGUCGGCGGCGAGUUGCUCUGGUGCUUCGGUUGCGGGGAUUAGGCAGAGGAGAGGAUAAGCUCGUCGGAGAUGGUGGAGGCGAGGAUGAGGUCGCCGGCGACGGAUCUGUGAGUGAGAGUUAGAGAGAGUGAGAGGUUUGCAGAUCCUUCGUUAGAGAGUCAUCGAUGUCAAGGCAUUGGUCGGUGUCGGUGAGGCUUUGAUCGGCAUUGGCUUGCUUCGGCGAGGCAUGGCUGGCUUCAGAUCUCGUGGAGGAUGUGAGAGAGAGAGAGAGAGAGAGAGAGAGAGAGAGAGAGAGAGAGAGAGAGAGAGAGAGAGAGAGAGAGAGAGAGAGAGAGAGAGAGAGAGAGAGAGUAGAGAGUAGAGAGUAGAGAGAGAGAGUAGNNNNNNNNNNNNNNNNNNNNGAGAGAGAGAGAGAGAGAGGCCCGGUCGUCGAGGAAGAUGGUGACGGUGUAGUGCCGAUGCUCCUUGCUCGAGGGCGUCGGUGGCGACGCUGUCUUCCACCAUGGAAGUUCGUCGAGGUGAGAGAGAGGAAGAGAGAGGAGAGAUGAGAGAUGAGAGAUGAGUGAGAAGUGAUCAGGAAAGAAGAUAAGAAAGGAGUGGUGGGAAUAGAACGGUGGGUAUAAAUGUCUUUUCCUUAUGAAUAAUUGAGAUGGGCAUUGGGAAAAGAUUAUCAUUGAUGUGGGCAAUAAAUCUUUAAAAUUAGUAUAUUAAGGCAUUUACUCUUCAUUGAUUGAUAUACUUCAUUAAGUUUAGCGCAUAUGUACGAUUAAUGUUCUUAAUACAACAUAAGAAAAAAAAGGUUACAAAAAGGGGUAAAUUUGGAGACAUGAAACCACAUCAACAUGUUUAGAUGAAAUUUUUACUAACCUGUGUUUGACACAAGUUUGUCGAUUCCUACACUAUUCUUAAGCAACAAGAACUAUCCAUACAGAUUGCAACGAAGCGAGUAUGAGGAGAUAUUAAACAACAAUACUUCUUCACGUAACAAUAUGUCAAUCUGAUGCAACAGUUAUCUCCUAUGUAUGCUGCAGUUGAUAAAAACAAGAGCUUCCCAGCAAAAAUAUAAGACCGAUGAGAGGAAGAGGAAGAUCAUAGCUACCAGCCAACCAAGACCAUUUCAAUCUUUGAAAGAAAAACAC